rnacentral:rRNA from 1 species
UACAGAGGGUGCGAGCGUUAAUCGGAAUUACUGGGCGUAAAGCGCGCGUAGGCGGCUUUGCAAGUCGGGUGUGAAAUCCCCAGGCUUAACCUGGGAACUGCAUUCGAGACUGCAUUGCUAGAGUAUGGGAGAGGGAAGUGGAAUUUCCGGUGUAGCGGUGAAAUGCGUAGAUAUCGGAAGGAACAUCAGUGGCGAAAGCGACUUCCUGGACCAAUACUGACGUCAUGUGCGAAAGCGUGGGGGAGCAAAACAGG